rnacentral:ribozyme from 1 species
AAGAAUUCGAGCUGCGCACAAUUAUGCAGUAGCAAAUGGGUACUCAGGAGGCUUUCUUACCUUUUGUGAUAAAGAAGGAACACAUAAUGUAUGUCUCCUAAAUGAAGGCACAGCAGAGGUUGUUCUUGUCGAGCCUGGUACAAUUGGCCAGAAGGCUGAACAACGAUUUAGUGAU